GAUAGACUCCAGCAAGUCGGUGAUUUCGAAAUCCUUGUAAAAAAAACGUUUCAUUAUGCGUCGUGUCCUGUCCAGAACAGGUCACAUCACCAAUGACCCCCACUGACCUGCACGCCUGCCUUACUAUUACAGUCCUUUUAGCCGUACGCGACUAGGAGAGGUUUCAUUUCCCCCCUUUUUUAUCCUCCCAUUCCCCCUUUCUCCCCCAGCACCUGCACUUGUUGGAGGACCUCUCCAACAAUUUUUUUUUGUAUUUUUUUGUUUUAUUUAAGUUCCGGCAGGAAUACGUAUUAACGGUUCUUGCCGGAUUCAAGGGUAGGGAAGGCCGAUCACGUUGCAGCUUGCUGCACUGCCCUUGUCGUCCGGCAAGCCUUCUUUCUCCCCAAAAAGAUGUACACCGGGGUCCUCUUUCUUUACUUCCGCCUUCGGCGGAGAUCUCUAGUACUAGCGAAAUGCCUCGUCAUCUAAUCAGUGACGCGCAUGACUGGAUUAACGAGAUUCCCACUGUCCCUAUCUAGUAUCUAACGAAACCACAGCUGAGGGAACGGGCUUGGAGAAAUCAGCGGGUAAAGAAGACCCUGUUGAGCUUGACUCUAGUCUGACUCUUUGAAGACACGCGAGAGCUGUAGCAUAAGUGGGAGGCCAUGAACCCUCGUGGUUGUGUCGUGCCGACAGUGAAAUACCACUACUUUCAUCGUUUCUUUAGUUAUACCCCUGUCAGACGGCAGCUAAAAUGGCAUUUACGCCAAAUGACAUUCAGUGUAAAUGUCAUUUAGGCACUGCUACACGGCAACUCAAAUGGCAUUUAACCUAAAUGCCAUUUCGGGUAAACAGAGUUCCCCAAACCCGUUUACGGCUCGCAAAGCGUACUCUCGACGGCAGCGCUCGACACAUAUUACGGGAUUGUUUUAAAAAAAAGCAGGCAUAUAUUGCGAAACAAUUUUUACAUCGUUUUAAUUACGAAAAUAAUUUCUUUAACGCGUGUUUCGCACGCACUUUACGUUCCUAAUUGUUUAACCUACUCACGACUCCAGUUAUCCAGUAGGCCUAAUGGCUCUGAACCGCUGAACCUGUCGCGUGCUCGCCUCGGUCGGCUCCCGGUUCGUUGGUUCCACUUGCGAUGUGCUCCUCAUUUACGCGUUCUUACGAUGUAGGAAGAACCGCCUGCCGACAAAAAAGGCGACCUGUCCCGCGAGACGUCGGUACUCAAAC
rnacentral:ncRNA from 1 species